CCAGAUUCUUCCUGUUGAUGUCCAAUUGACAAAAAUAUCUUAGGGAAGAAGGUGAAGAAACAAGCUUCUUAGAGACUAUGUAACUUGGCCAAAUGUCAAGGAUAUUUGAGAUUCAAGCCCAAAAUCUUCAGACUAUGGAGCCCAUGCUAAUUCCAGGACACCAUGAAAUCACACACAUGUGAAGGCAAUUCUUGAACUACGGGGAUGCAGUUCUCAGUCUUCUUAUUCUGUAACACACAUCACCAAUCAACAUUCGCAUGAGAAACCCAAGCUUAUGCCCAAUUCCUGGAAUACUAUCUUUACCUGGAUCAUAUUCUCUGCCACGGAAGAAAGCAUGUGAAUGGGUGAAAACAAGAAGUGCUUCUCUUCACAGAAGUGGGCUUCAAAAGCCAUUUUCAAAUGAAAGAUUGCUCUUGCCUCCCCUCCUGUGCUCACCACCGCAUUUGCAACAGGUUUAUGCUACCAUAGAGAUGCAUCGAAAGGCAAAUACACUGUAACAUGGGAUACAAGUACAUCUGACAAAGAGGCACAUUUUAUUACUAAACUUGGAAAUGAAUUAAUCUAAUUACUGCUGAUUGCUUGACCAACACGAAAACCUAGGAAGCCUCUGCUUAGAUUAGAAAUUGCUGUCCUUACUAUGAUUUUUCAUGUGGCCUGGAAAAUGAAGAAAGAACACAGAAAAGAAUGUGAGACUGCAGCACAGCUUACUAAGGUAUGCUGUGGCUGCAAUUGUCAUUGUAAGUGAUACAACCACCAGUUGGAGAGUGCUUUGGAACUUUAAAGGUAAAGGAAACCUUUUCUUCAGUGGAACAUUCUCUUUUAACCUGCUUUUCUGUUGAACCUGAUAAGGCUUUGGAUGUGCUUGUUUGAGAGUUCCUUUCAAGUUGAACAAUGCCAAACCGAAGAAACAAACUUGUUCAUAAAGUGAGGUAUCCUGCUGGAAAUCAUCAUGUGUUUUUAAAGUCACCAUGUAAUAUUCAUGUAUUUAGUUACCGUCAACCAUAAACUCCUUUAUCAGCAGACAAUUGGCAGUAUAAACCAAAGGUGUACAAAAAAUUAAUGCUCUCCAGUAAUUUAAUGUUUGCUUAACAUUGAGUUUGGUGGUGAUGUUAG